GAGAGAAAACCGAGCAAACCAAUAGAGAGUGAGAGAUGUGAAGCGGAGAGACCGUCUUUCUCGGUGUGAGUGAGGGAGACGAGAAAGUGGCUAAGUGAGGAUAGUGUGAGCUCCUCCUCUAUUGUAAUCUUUCUGUAAUCUCUCCAUUGUUAUAGUGAUAACUGGUUACUCUCUCGUGGACGUAGGCAUUGAGGCCGAACCACGUUAAAUAUGGUGUCUCCUUAAGUGUGAGUGUGUUUUACUGCUUGAUAUGAUUUCUAUAAGGUCUUGGGCGAGAUCCCCGAUCCCAUCAAUAAAUACCUUGUUGAAGAGAUAUAAUGUGGCUGGUUGUCUACUGCAAAAUAAGGAAAAAAGGGGGAUUGAUUGACUAGUCUUGAUUGGCUAAAGCAUGGGUCAAGAUUUGAUGGAAAAAAGGCUAAAAUGGGGCUAAAAUUGGCUGAUUGUCUUGUGGUCAUUGUUGCAAGGUAUGGGUUGAAGAUUUGAAGGAAAACAAAGCCAAAGUCUUCAAAUUCAGCUGAACAAUCAUGUCCAUCAAGCCCGAAAUAUUCCAAUAGUGCUCGCGAUUUGUAACAUCGCGCCUGUGAGAAAGUCGCGAUGAAAUCAAGCUCUCAGUAUCUUACUUUAGUUCAUCUCUGUGCUCGCGAACAUGACCUCGCGCCUGCAAUAUAUAGGCAUGGCGACCACGAACUGGAAGCAACUAGGCCGCGACCAGGCCACAAGGAAAACAAGCUCUUAGUACUUUUCUCUGCAACCCGCAAAGGGGUCUCGCACCCGUAACCAGCAGUCUCGCACCCGCAACCAGCAGUCUUGCACCCGCGACCAAAAGUCUCGCACCUGCAAUGAUCUUAUGUCUAUAUAUACCAUGCUCGGUCGUGUUGUUAAUUAAUUCCUUGAGUCUGUAAUCUUUUAGUGUCUUUACUGAGAGAGUGCUGUAGUAAGGUUAAUUAUAUAUUUCUCUAAUGUUUACUUGACGAUUCAACUA